GGCACAGCUAUGAUGCUGCUGUCUCCCUUAGCAGUAGAUCCUUGGAGGAUCUGCCCAGCAGGAAAACUUAGACCAGUAUCUUCAAGCUGCUUGUAGCCCUUUCUGCUGGCUAGUGCAAGAUCUGUGAAUGUCAGAGUGGUGAUCAAGCUAAUUGUACAGGAAGAAGCUGUGACCUCCUCAUCCUCUGAAAAUGUUUCCGCUGAGGAUGUGAGAGUACACAAAUGGUGCCAAGCAACUGAAUGCAUGCAGAAGUGGUCAAAACAGCAAGUAAUAGGAAGUGUCUGCAUCUCCUUACAAGAUUUUGCUGCAAGGCACAGAGCCUAGAAGUUGUCACAUCAAGCAUAUCAUUCUGUCUCAGGACCUUUGGAGAAGCACAGAAGAGGAAACAGAGGAUUUCAGUGAUGUAAUUUGUAGCCACAAUGGAUAGUGGGAGAAAAGUCAGAGGCCUGGGUAAAACUGUACACAAUUAGGUUGGAGUCACGGGCAGUGUAUGUGUUUUAUAUGCAUUGCACAGUCCAUGAGCAUUGUAAAUGUGGUAUUUCAAAUAUCCUAUUCAGAUUCUCUAAUUAGCCAUUUUCAUAACAAAACUCUAAUAGCCAUUUUUCCUCUUUCAUAUUCUCUCAAGACUAUGAACAAUUAUAGUGACACUAUGAAAGAAUGUUGCGUUUUUGCAUACUUUGGUCAAAGUCAUAAACCAAAUCAAUUAUUCCAAAUUGUUCUGAGCAGAACUUAAUUUUAUUACCCACUUGUCAAGUACAUCAAUCAGAUGUGAUUUUUUUGGAACCUAUUUUCCUUUCUGGUGAGCGGUUUUGCAAUUACCCUUACUUUAAAGAAUACAUUUCUGUACUGAAUAAUGGUUAUAUGUGUUUGAGGCUAAUGUUUUUCUGUCAGCAAAGAGAAACUAUCUUAUUUUGGCCUGUUAUUCAAAUUCAACAUGCAAAUUCCUUGUUUUUGAGCACAUUGUAUAUAAAAGGACAUGUAGUAAUUUACUGUACAAAGGGCUUGUGCUUUUACGCAAAGCUAGGCUGGAAUUUUUAUUUUAAUGCUCAGGAGGGCAGAUGUUUCAAAAGUGGAAAACUACAAUGGGCAUUGCAUUAUUUCUAUGUGAAAUGAAUACAGUUGAAAUAUCUCAACUGAGCAAGACAUCUACAUAUAUGCAAACCAUCAAUAAAUCAUGUUUUUCUCUCAACUAUGCUAAUUAUCCAAAACUCAUCUAAUUAUCCAACAGUUUGUAUAUCAGAAAACAAAUCGAUUGCUACUCUUAUGGGUGCAUGACUUACAAAGUUUGUGGUGAGAUGACACUUUUAAUUCUAGGUCUUUCAGAAUGCCAUCUAAUUCAAGCCAAUGGCAGCUGUGAACUA